AGCCCCGUGGUGUGGAUAGCACGGCGAAUUGCAAAUUCGGAGGAGUAGAUUAAAAGUCUGCCGGGGCUU
rnacentral:tRNA from 1 species